rnacentral:sRNA from 1 species
UUAUGGUAUGCGCAAAACACGUUAAAGG